GCCUGUAGUCCCAGCUACUCAGGAGGCUGAGGCAGGAGAAUUGCUUGAACCCGGGAGGCAGAAGUUGCAGUGAGCCAAGACAGUACCACUGCACUUCAGCUUGGGUGAUAGAGCAAGACUUUCUCU